UACGUAGGGGGCAAGCGUUGUCCGGAAUCAUUGGGCGUAAAGAGCGUGUAGGCGGCCCGAUAAGUCCGCUGUGAAAGUCUAGGGCUCAACCCUGGGAUGCCGGUGGAUACUGUCGGGCUCGAGUCCGGAAGAGGAGUGUGGAAUUCCUGGUGUAGCGGUGAAAUGCGCAGAUAUCAGGAGGAACACCAAUGGCGAAGGCAGCACUCUGGGACGUGACUGACGCUGAGACGCGAAAGCCAGGGGAGCGAACGGG
rnacentral:rRNA from 1 species